rnacentral:rRNA from 1 species
AUACGUAGGGUGCAAGCGUUAAUCGGAAUUACUGGGCGUAAAGCGUGCGCAGGCGGUUUUGUAAGGCAGUGGUGAAAUCCCCGGGCUCAACCUGGGGACUGCCAUUGUGACUGCAAGGCUGGAGGGCGGCAGAGGGGGGUGGAAUUCCGGGUGUAGGAGUGAAAUGCGUAGAUAUGCGGAGGAACACCGAUGGCGAAGGCAAUCCCCUGGGCCUGCACUGACGCUCAUGCACGAAAGCGUGGGGAGCAAACAGGAUUAGAUACCCUGGUAGUCCACGCCCUAAACGAUGUCAACUGGUUGUUGGGGAUUUAUUUUCUCAGUAACGAAGCUAACGCGUGAAGUUGACCGCCUGGGGAGUACGGCCGCAAGGUUAAAACUCAAAGGAAUUGACGGGG